rnacentral:rRNA from 1 species
AGAGCGAACGCUGGCGGCAGGCCUAACACAUGCAAGUCGAGCGCGUGUAGCAAUACACGAGCGGCAGACGGGAGAGUAACACGUGGGAACGCGCCCUUCGGUUCGGAAUAACUCAGGGAAACUUGGGCUAAUACCGGAUACGCCCUUACGGGGAAAGAUUUAUUGCCGAAGGAACGGCCCGCGUCCGAUUAGCUUGUUGGUGAGGUAACGGCUCACCAAGGCGACGAUCGGUAGCUGGUCUGAGAGGAUGACCAGCCUCACUGGGACUGAGACACGGCCCAGACUCCUACGGGAGGCAGCAGUUGGGAAUAUUGGACAAUGGGCGCAAGCCUGAUCCAGCCAUGCCGCGUGGGUGAUGAAGGCCCUAGGGUUGUAAAGCCCUUUGGCGGGGAAGAUAAUGACGGUACCCGCAGAAGAAGCCCCGGCUAACUCGUGCCAGCAGCCGC